rnacentral:piRNA from 1 species
ACUGAGUGUACACUUUAUGCCAACCACUG